AGAAAGAGCACGAGGCUUGGCAGGAGAGAAAGAACCGUUGGUUACGCUUGAGUUGGUGGUUUCCUGGGUGCCUCCUUGUUGCCAGAAACAUCUCCAGAGUGGAACUCUUGAAUAUGACAUCAGGAGCUGUGGCCUAUGUGGACGCUUGGCUCAAACUUGAUUUGGAAUGUAGAUCAAAUCUUUAAAGAUGCAAGAGCCAUCUCCAUCUGGGAAGAGGGGGUCAUUGAUGCAUGCCUGAGCAGGGCAAGGGCUGACUAACACCGUUGUUGGUCUGGAGGCUUGCUAUUCAAAGUUAGCCCCUUCCAGGGAUGAUUGACAUAUUCUCCUCAAGAAUAAUUCAGGAGCAACCAGGGAGGGGAGACUUGGUUUGGCUUCAUAUGUCUCUUCCACUGCCUCCCAGCCUUAACUUUCCAGUCUCUGGUCCUUAGUCUCCACAAAAUAAAGAUUUUGCUUUCAUCCUUAA